rnacentral:tRNA from 1 species
GCGCGGCCUGGCCGAGGUGGUCCAGCGGCGCGGUUUCCAGUGGGCCGCCACGGCGGCCGCCGUGCUCGUCGACGGCGGAUCGGUGGCCGUCGUCGCGGAC